GAUGUAAUGAGUUCUGCAUCCUUGUGUCAGCAUUGCUACCCAUGGGCUUAGGACCACCUCGCUUAUCACACUGUCUCACGCAACGUUCUGAGCAAGGAGCAGUUUCAUACUGAGCAAGUGCCAGUGGCUUCACACUUACUGGCUCCACCGGCCACACUCUGUUCCUUAAUUUCCCAGAGCACGCUGGUCUGACAGAAUGGCUUGCUGCAGGCUUGGUGGCAGCAUCAGAAGGGACAAGACAACCACAUGAAGCUGUGUGCUGUAUUUUCGGCUCAGACGACAAGCUUUCAAAGGCAACACAUGCUCAGCGUUCCUGUUCCUGGAUAUAGAUGUGGGAACGAAAGCCAAAAACUGGCCCCAUUUGCUAGUGUGUCAGAGACUUGCUUCCUGUCUUUGCUAUCUUGGAGCUGCCCCCAAAGAAAGACUACCGCCACCUACAGUGGAAGAAGACACUGUGGGCCAUGUCUUUGCAUUAUUGCAUCAUUUCAGCGGGGGAAGUUGUUCUCUGAGCACAAGAACAGUGGCAGGAGACCCUCGCUGGAGAUAAUCUGGGAUGCCACUUCAAAUCCCCAAGUAAAGACGAACAGAACAGUGUGACAGUCCAACGACAUGCUGGCUGCUACAGACACUGAGCUUCCAGGAAUUUUGAUUUCAGCUACUCCAGUGGAUCAAGACCUGACCAGACUCAGUAACUGAUGAACUACUGUAUUGCCACCGACAACUCUGAAAUCCUAGUGGUCCAGCAAAAUAAGGGAAGAAGAAACCAGUGACUGAGUUGGAGAUCCUCUAGGAAACCACUCCAAAAGCUGGUGAGCGGGAAUCAGAAGCUCAGAGCCAUCAGCUUAGCUGGUCAGAUACUACUCAUCAAAACAAUUCCUACUUGCACGUCAUCUUUAUGAAAGGCCUGAUGCUGGCUCCCCUCCAAACCAGCUUCCAUGUCCUAGUGGGCUUGCGUGAAGGGCAGAUCACUUCGCUGCGCGGCUCGCAGCUCCAAUGCGCCAUUAAUAACCUCGUAGCCUGCGCUCAGUCUUCAUCAGCGCGUGAUGUGCAGCCUGCCCAACAGAGAUCUUCAUUACCAGGAAGGCCCGUGGCUUCCUGGGCCAACACCUGAAAGUCACAUUAGCCAGGCUCCUAUCACAGUCCUCACAAACUGACAGCAGGAAAGGGGCCCUUCGAAUCCGAAUGGUGCCCAAACUCGCCCAAAUGUCCCAGAGCGAGAAGCCAGGAAUAUAAGUCUCCCCAGCUCCUGUUCCAGGGGCAGCCUUUGUUAUUCUGUGGUAUUCAUUAAAUACAUUCCCUUAAACCAACCGUAUAGAGAUUAGCUUUUUUUGGGGGGGGCGGGGGCAUGCACACCUUUAAACCCAGCACUCAGCUAGUCUACAGAACAAGUUCUAGAAUAGCCAG